UGCAGAAUUGCUGGGUCAUAUGGUAAGUACAUACUUAACUUUAUAAGAAACUGCCAGACUAUUUUCCAAAGUGGUUGUACCAUUCUAUAUUCUCACCAGCAAC
rnacentral:pre_miRNA from 1 species